rnacentral:ncRNA from 1 species
CAGUUUUUGAAAACGGGAAUAUAGGUUUUCAAAGUCCCUCUUUCUACCUGUAUAGUUAGUUUUCUCCGGAGACAACCUUGACUUAAAAGGUUCCCUUGUGAGUUGAAUAUGAAUUAUUCUUCGAGUAGCAAGGAGAGGGCAAGUCUGGUGCCAGUAGCCGCGGUAAUUCCAGCUCUCCUAGUGUAUCUCGUUGUUGCUGCGGUUAAAAACCUCGUAGUGGGAUCUAGGUUACGUGCCGCAGUUCGCAAUUUGCGUUAACUGUGGUCGUGACUUCUAAUUUGCUGGUUUGAUGUUGGGUUCGCCCUUCAACUGCCAGCAGGUUUAUUUUUCGAAGGUUUGAAGGCGAUUAGAUACCGCCCUAGUACUGACCGUAAACGAUGUCAUCUCGCGAUUCGGAGGGUUCAUGCCCUACCGAGGAGCUACCCGGAAAUGAAAGUCUUUCGGUUCCGGGGGUAGUAUGGUUGCAAAGCUGCAACUUAAAGAAAUUGACGGAAGGGCACCACAAGGCAUGGAGCUUGCGGCUUAAUUUGAC